rnacentral:lncRNA from 1 species
AAGAGAGGUUGGUUGGACAACCCUAUCUGUGUACUAUGUGGGUCGGGCGAGGAAUCAGUGGACCAUCUGUUCACCCGGUGCGUAUUUUGUAAGUUCAUCAUAGUGUUAGGGGUGGACGAUAUUCAGGCCCAUGAUUUGGGGGACGAUGUGAAUCUCGUAUGGGAUAGGUGGAUGGGCAAAAGGGACCACCUAAAGAAGCGAACCAGACUUACUGACCUAAUAGGCUGCUGGUGGAUUGUGUGGAAGGUUAGAAACGGCACCGUUUUUCGGAAUAUCGCUCCUAACCCCAAGUUAGCGGUGCACAGACUCAAGCUUCUAGUGAAGGAGUGGGGUUCCCUCCUUGUUUCAUAACCUUUUUUUUUUUUUUUUUU